AGCGAACGCUGGCGGCAGGCCUAACACAUGCAAGUCGAACGAACCUUUCGGGGUUAGUGGCGGACGGGUGAGUAACACGUGGGAACGUGCCUUUAGGUUCGGAAUAACUCAGGGAAACUUGUGCUAAUACCGAAUGUGCCCUUCGGGGGAAAGAUUUAUCGCCUUUAGAGCGGCCCGCGUCUGAUUAGCUAGUUGGUUGAGGUAAUGGCUCACCAAGGCGACGAUCAGUAGCUGGUCUGAGAGGAUGAUCAGCCACAUUGGGACUGAGACACGGCCCAAACUCCUACGGGAGGCAGCAGUGGGGAAUCUUGCGCAAUGGGCGAAAGCCUGACGCAGCCAUGCCGCGUGAAUGAUGAAGGUCUUAGGAUUGUAAAAUUCUUUCACCGGGGACGAUAAUGACGGUACCCGGAGAAGGAGCCCCGGCUAACUUC
rnacentral:rRNA from 1 species